CCAGGGGUGGGGUAGCAACGGGCGGACCCAGUGAGGGGCGCAAGGCAGCUGGCUGUCCGCAGUCACACAUUCCUGCGCAGAUAAACCAGCUAAAAACAGGCAGCGACACAGGCCGAGCAACGCAGGGCCCCAGCACCGGGAAACAAAGCCUAAAUGCACCGACUGAAAACACCUGCGGGGGCUGAGACCCGGAGAACCUCCCAGCCUCGCAGGAGAGCUCCUGGGGGAGACCCACAGAGCCCUAGAAAGUACCUGAGCCCACCUGCUCGGGAGCCAGCACCAGAAG